rnacentral:rRNA from 1 species
AUGUGCCUGAAUCCUAUCUGUUACUACCACCAGUCACAAGAGGACAGUCUCAAAUACCUUGGAGAGUGUGUUGACGGUCUUUCCGGCCUAGAGCAUCUGGAUCUGUCUCAUAACACAUUUAUUUUUGCUCUGCCUGCAAGUCUAGGUGACCUCAACCAGCUGCACACACUGAACAUCUCAGGCUGCAUCAGACUUAAGAAGGUUGCUGAAAUGAAGUCUCUCAAGUUUAUAAAUCUGAGGAAGUGCCGAGGACUAGAGAGUUGCCACCUUGCGGUUCGCAUUGUCAAUGAUGAUGAUGUGUAUAGCAGCAGCAAUAUUCUUCAGCUCGAGGAGGUUAAUUGCCAGGAGCUCCAGAUAAGCUGCCUAGAAAAGGUCAAGUCCAGAGAGGAAGCACAGAGAGUCAAACUGAUGGAGAAACAGAAACUUCAAAAGUUGAAGCUUUCUUGGACUUUGGACUCUCCCGGACGAGUGGAGGACAGUGCUUUGUUGGAGGAAUUAGUGCCACCACCUAAUCUGCAGUGCCUUGAGGUUAAUGGUUACACCGGCAAAUGUCUCCCAGAGUACUUUGGUAACCUCACCUCUCUCCAGGAACUCAAGAUCGUCCGGUGCAAGCAGCUCAACUCGUUGCCGGAUACAAUGCAGAAACUCACUAGCCUCAAGGAUCUGUGUAUUUUUGACUGUCCAGAAUUGGAGAAGUGGUGUCAGCUUGAGGAGAACAAGAAAGUGCUGGUGCACAUCCCCAACAAAAAUUAUGAGGAGCCUGCUAGUACUAGCAGGCAAGAGAUUGUAGAGGAUGAGACAUCGGGCGACGAGGUGGAGGCGGCGUAG